UACGAAGGGUGCGAGCGUUGUCCGGAAUUAUUGGGCGUAAAGAGCUCGUAGGCGGUUUGUCGCGUCUGCUGUGAAAACCCGAGGCUCAACCUCGGGCCUGCAGUGGGUACGGGCAGACUAGAGUGCGGUAGGGGAGAUUGGAAUUCCUGGUGUAGCGGUGGAAUGCGCAGAUAUCAGGAGGAACACCGGUGGCGAAGGCGGGUCUCUGGGCCGAUACUGACGCUGAGGAGCGAAAGCGUGGGGAGCGAACAGG
rnacentral:rRNA from 1 species